UACGUAGGUGGCAAGCGUUGUCCGGAUUUACUGGGCGUAAAGAGCGCGCAGGCGGUCAGAUAAGUCGAAUGUGAAAGCCCCCGGCUCAACUGGGGAGGGUCAUUCGAUACUGUUCGACUCGAAGGCAGGAGAGGGAAGCGGAAUUCCCGGUGUAGUGGUGAAAUGCGUAGAUAUCGGGAGGAACACCAGUGGCGAAGGCGGCUUCCUGGCCUGUUCUUGACGCUGAGGCGCGAAAGCUAGGGGAGCAAACAGGGAU
rnacentral:rRNA from 1 species